rnacentral:rRNA from 1 species
UACGUAGGGUGCAAGCGUUAAUCGGAAUUACUGGGCGUAAAGCGUGCGCAGGCGGUUUGCUAAGACCGAUGUGAAAUCCCCGGGCUUAACCUGGGAACUGCAUUGGUGACUGGCAAGCUAGAGUGUGGCAGAGGGGGGUAGAAUUCCACGUGUAGCAGUGAAAUGCGUAGAUAUCAAGAGGAACACCAGUGGCGAAGGCGAGUCCCUGGACAACUUCUGACGCUGAGGCACGAAAGCUAGGGGAGCAAACAGG